rnacentral:rRNA from 1 species
GACGAACCGUACGAACGUUAUUCGGAAUCACUGGGCGUAAAGCGCACGUAGGCGGACUUUUAAGUCAGGGGUGGAAUCCUGGAGCUCAACUCCAGAACUGCCUUUGAUACUGGAAGUCUUGAGUUCGAGAGAGGUGAGUGGAACUGCGAGUGUAGAGGUGAAAUUCGUAGGUAUUCGCAAGAACACCAGUGGCGAAGGCGGCUCACUGGCUCGAUACUGACGCUGAGGUGCGAAAGCGUGGGGAGCAAACAGG